rnacentral:rRNA from 1 species
UCGGGAAUUUUGGGCAAUGGGCGAAAGCCUGACCCAGCAACGCCGCGUGAAGGAUGAAGUAUUUCGGUAUGUAAACUUCGAAAGAAUAGGAAGAAUAAAUGACGGUACUAUUUAUAAGGUCCGGCUAACUACGUGCCAGCAGCCGCGGUAAUACGUAGGGACCAAGCGUUGUUCGGAUUUACUGGGCGUAAAGGGCGCGUAGGCGGCAAUUCAAGUCAUCUGUGAAAUCUCCGGGCUUAACUCGGAACGGUCAGAUGAUACUGCUUUGCUAGAGUGCAGAAGGGGCAAUCGGAAUUCUUGGUGUAGCGGUGAAAUGCGUAGAUAUCAAGAGGAGCACCUGAGGUGAAGACGGGUUGCUGGGCUGACACUGACGCUGAGGCGCGAAAGCCAGGGGAGCAAACGGGAUUAGAUACCCCUGUAGUCCCUGAGCGGGCUGGCAAGGCGCAU